UACGUAGGGGGCAAGCGUUGUCCGGAUUUAUUGGGCGUAAAGAGCGUGUAGGCGGCCUGAAAGGUCAGCUGUGAAAACUCGAGGCUCAACCUCGAGACGUCGGUUGAAACCAUCUGGCUAGAGUCCGGAAGAGGAGUGUGGAAUUCCCGGUGUAGCGGUGAAAUGCGCAGAUAUCGGGAAGAGCACCCGUGGCGAAGGCGGCUCUCUGGGACGGUACUGACGCUGAGACGCGAAAGCGUGGGGAGCGAACAGG
rnacentral:rRNA from 1 species